GGAAAGGGUAUUAAAAUAGUUAAGAUAUUAAACGUUCCAAGUCUUAUUUGUUCAUAGAUUGGUGGAUGUCAGCUUAGUCACACUCAGCUACAUCAAGUAUCACAAUGUUUAUUGAUAGAUACAAGUAUAUAAAAUCAGGGCAUGAACAUGACUUGAUAAAUUAAGUAGACUUAAUUUCAAUACUAUAAUAAGAGGGACCAAUUCAAAUUCUCACCAUUUGUUUCACACCCACAAAAACCACUUCAAGGGCAUUAAACGAUCUCUCAAAACUGAUCAGUUUUGUGCAAGUAAACCAUGUUUCUUUUAAAAAGACGUGUGCACUUGCCCAGGCUCAAGGAUAUUAAAAUCUAGCACAUAAAGCCCAUUACUAGAGGUAGAAAUACAGGCAAUAUACUAUUACGGCAACAAC